rnacentral:rRNA from 1 species
CCUACGGUAGGCAGCAGUAGGGAAUUUUCGUCAAUGGGCGCAAGCCUGAACGAGCAAUGCCGCGUGAACGAGGAAGGUCUUCGGAUCGUAAAGUUCUGUUGAAGGGGAAAAAGAGCGGAGAGAGGAAAUGAACUCCGAUUGAUAUUACCCUUCGAGGAAGUCACGGCUAACUACGUGCCCGCAGCAGCUGUAAUACGUAGGUGGAGAUCGUUAUCCGGAAUGAGUGGGCGUAAAGGGUGCGUAGGCGGCCUGCUAAGUCUGGAGUGAAAGGUACCGGCUCAACCGGUAUAGGCUCUGGAAACUGGCGGGCUAGAGAGCAGGAGAGGGCGGUGGAACUCCAUGUGUAGCGGUAAAAUGCGUAGAUAUAUGGAAGAACACCAGUGGCGAAGGCGGCCGCCUGGCCUGUUACUGACGCUGAGGCACGAAAGCGUGGGGAGCAAAUAGGAUUAGAUACCCCAGUAGUC